GACGAACUCUGGCGGCGUGCUUAACACAUGCAAGUCGAACGGUAAGGCUCCAGCUUGCUGGGGUACACGAGUGGCGAACGGGUGAGUAACACGUGGGUGACCUGCCCUGCACUUCGGGAUAAGCCUGGGAAACUGGGUCUAAUACCGGAUAGGACCGCACCGUGAGGGUGUGGUGGAAAGUUUUUUCGGUGUGGGAUGGGCCCGCGGCCUAUCAGCUUGUUGGUGGGGUAAUGGCCUACCAAGGCGGCGACGGGUAGCCGGCCUGAGAGGGUGGACGGCCACAUUGGGACUGAGACACGGCCCAGACUCCUACGGGAGGCAGCAGUGGGGAAUAUUGCACAAUGGGCGGAAGCCUGAUGCAGCGACGCCGCGUGGGGGAUGACGGCCUUCGGGUUGUAAACUCCUUUCACCAUCGACGAAGGGUUUCUGACGGUAGAUGGAGAAGAAGCACCGGCUAACUACGUGCCAGCAGCCGCGGUAAUACGUAGGGUGCGAGCGUUGUCCGGAAUUACUGGGCGUAAAGAGCUCGUAGGUGGUUUGUCGCGUCGUCUGCGAAAUUCCGGGGCUUAACUCCGGGCGUGCAGGCGAUACGGGCAUAACUUGAGUACUGUAGGGGAGACUGGAGUUCCUGGUGUAGCGGUGAAAUGCGCAGAUAUCAGGAGGAACACCGGUGGCGAAGGCGGGUCUCUGGGCAGUAACUGACGCUGAGGAGCGAAAGCAUGGGGAGCGAACAGGAUUAGAUACCCUGGUAGUCCAUGCCGUAAACGGUGGGCGCUAGGUGUGGGUUUCCUUCCACGGGAUCCGUGCCGUAGCUAACGCAUUAAGCGCCCCGCCUGGGGAGUACGGCCGCAAGGCUAAAACUCAAAGGAAUUGACGGGGGCCCGCACAAGCGGCGGAGCAUGUGGAUUAAUUCGAUGCAACGCGAAGAACCUUACCUGGGCUUGACAUAUACAGGAUCGCGCCAGAGAUGGUGUUUCCCUUGUGGCUUGUAUACAGGUGGUGCAUGGUUGUCGUCAGCUCGUGUCGUGAGAUGUUGGGUUAAGUCCCGCAACGAGCGCAACCCUUGUCUUAUGUUGCCAGCACGUUGUGGUGGGGACUCGUAAGAAACUGCCGGGGUUAACUCGGAGGAAGGUGGGGAUGACGUCAAAUCAUCAUGCCCCUUAUGUCCAGGGCUUCGCACAUGCUACAAUGGUCGGUACAGUGGGUUGCCAGUCCGUGAGGGCGAGCUAAUCCCGCAAAGCCGGUCUCAGUUCGGAUCGGGGUCUGCAACUCGACCCCGUGAAGUCGGAGUCGCUAGUAAUCGCAGAUCAGCAACGCUGCGGUGAAUACGUUCCCGGGCCU
rnacentral:rRNA from 1 species